GGGCCGGUUUCACGAAGCUAUCCUAAGACAUGUCAUAAGACAUAUCUUAGGACAUGUCUUAUGAUCCUCUUAUGACUAUCCUAGGACAUAUCUCAGACCUCGUCUCGAAGCUGUCUUAGGAUCAUCUUAGCUAAGACAUCCUAAACCUGUCGCAAGUUCUUUAAAUUUUCAAAUAUAAAAUUGAUCUACGGAAAAAAAUCAUGUAAAUGUAG
rnacentral:lncRNA from 1 species